rnacentral:rRNA from 1 species
AACGUAGGUGGCAAGCGUUAUCCGGAUUUACUGGGCGUAAAGCGUGUGCAGGCGGGGGGGCAAGUGGGGUAUGAAAUCGCCAGGCUAAACCUGGCGGGGUUAUGCCAGACUGUCCGUCUGGAGUGCGAGAGAGGGGCGUGGAAUUCCGGGUGUAGUGGUGAAAUGCGUAGAGAUCGGAAAGAACACCAGUGGCGAAGGCGGCUUCCUGGACUCAUACUGACGCUGAGGCGCGAAAGCGUGGGGAGCAAACAGG